CGGACGGGUGAGUAACGCGUGGGUAACCUGCCUUGUACAGGGGGAUAACAGUCAGAAAUGACUGCUAAUACCGCAUAAGCGCACAGGACCGCAUGGUCCAGUGUGAAAAACUCCGGUGGUAUAAGAUGGACCCGCGUUGGAUUAGCUGGUUGGUGGGGUAACGGCCUACCAAGGCGACGAUCCAUAGCCGGCCUGAGAGGGUGAACGGCCACAUUGGGACUGAGACACGGCCCAGACUCCUACGGGAGGCAGCAGUGGGGAAUAUUGCACAAUGGGGGAAACCCUGAUGCAGCGACGCCGCGUGAAGGAAGAAGUAUCUCGGUAUGUAAACUUCUAUCAGCAGGGAAGAGAUUGACGGUACCUGACUAAGAAGCCCCGGCUAACUACGUGCCAGCAGCCGCGGUAAUACGUAGGGGGCAAGCGUUAUCCGGAUUUACUGGGUGUAAAGGGAGCGUAGACGGAUGGACAAGUCUGAUGUGAAAGGCUGGGGCUCAACCCCGGGACUGCAUUGGAAACUGCCCGUCUUGAGUGCCGGAGAGGUAAGCGGAAUUCCUAGUGUAGCGGUGAAAUGCGUAGAUAUUAGGAGGAACACCAGUGGCGAAGGCGGCUUACUGGACGGUAACUGACGUUGAGGCUCG
rnacentral:rRNA from 1 species